rnacentral:rRNA from 1 species
UACGAAGGGGGCUAGCGUUGCUCGGAAUUACUGGGCGUAAAGGGCGCGUAGGUGGAUGUUUAAGUCGGGGGUGAAAGCCCGGGGCUCAACCUCGGAAUUGCCUUCGAUACUGGACAUCUUGAGUACGGGAGAGGUGAGUGGAACUCCGAGUGUAGAGGUGAAAUGCGCAGAUAUCAGGAAGAACAGCCCGUGGCGAAGGCGGCUCUCUGGGGACGGUACUGGACGCUGAGACGCGAAAGCGUGGGGAGCAAACAGG